UCCGCCAUAAAAUUGAUGUAA
rnacentral:piRNA from 1 species